AACAACUCCAUGUUGGGCAGUGGCUGCAUUGGGCUCCUGUCCUUGUAUCUUGGAGUAGCUGUUGGUUGUUUACAGAGCAAUUGGACUUAAAACUGGCUGAUAGACUAGGAAUCUCCAAUCUACUGGACCUUGCUAGAAUCUGGCAAUGUUUCCUUGAGGGCAGAUGUAACAAGUAUGAUGUUGCUUGUUAACAUGAUAAGUAUGAAGUCAAUGUCCCAAGGUUGUUCUGCUCUCUAUGUAGAGAUAUAACAAAGAGGUAUUUAUGAGUCAAUAAUGUCAACACUUGGCACAUUCAAAUUGAUUAAGUUUCCUAGUCCUUUAGCUAUUUUUUAAGUAAAAUGAAUUUUUUAUUUUCUAAUAUUA